CAUUAAUGAAUUGUAAUGGGGUUGAUGCUGGUGGCCGUCUAGUUCGGCCGCAUGUGCUCGCUUCCAACAAUCUUUAUCCAAACACCUGUGCACUUCUGAGGGUUUCCGAGUCGACCGCCAAUCUUGUCGUGGUUUUCUUGGAUUCCCUUCAUACACACACACGAAAUGUAAUGCUGAACGUGAUUGUGCCGCAAGGCCUUAAUAAAAUACAACUUUUAACAACGGAUCUCUUGGUUCUCGCAUCGAUGAAGAACGCAGCGAAAUGCGAUAAGUAAUGUGAGUUGCAGAAUUCAGUGAAUCAUCGAAUCUUUGAACGCACCUUGCGCUCCCUGGUAUUCCGGGGAGCACGCCUGUUCGAGUGUCGUGAAUACCCUCAAGCUUUGGUGCUUUUUCUAAAAAGUAACCACUGGCUUGGUUGUUGGGCUUUGCCGUGUCCUUCAUUGGGACGGCUGGCCUUAAAGGCAUUAGCUGGCCCUCAUGUAGUGUUGGUUCUACUCAGCGUGAUAAUGAUCUGACCGCUGAGGACAUCUUUCGGGAUGGCCAGUCUCAUUUGGGCUGCUUCCAAUCCGGUUUUGCAGGUUCUUCAAUCUGCUCCAUUCUCGACUUUGACCUCGAAUCAGGUGGGACUACCCGCUGAACUUAAGCAUAUCAAUAAGCGGAGGAAAAGAAACUAACAAGGAUUCCCCUAGUAACGGCGAGUGAAGCGGGAAGAGCUCAAAUUUAAAAUCUGGCAGCCUUCGGCUGUCCGA
rnacentral:rRNA from 1 species